rnacentral:rRNA from 1 species
CCUACGGGUGGCAGCAGUGGGGAAUAUUGCACAAUGGGCGAAAGCCUGAUGCAGCAACGCCGCGUGAGCGAUGAAGGCCUUCGGGUUGUAAAGCUCUGUCUUUAAGGAAGAAAAUGACGGUACUUGAGGAGGAAGCCCCGGCUAACUACGUGCCAGCAGCCGCGGUAAUACGUAGGGGGCUAACGUUAUCCGGAAUUACUGGGCGUAAAGUGUGCGUAGGUGGUUUCUUAAGUCAGAGGUGAAAGCGUACGGCUCAACCGUAGUAAGCGUUUGACACUGGGGAACUUGAGUGCAGGAGAGGAGAGUGGAAUUCCUAGUGUAGCGGUGAAAUGCGUAGAUAUUAGGAGGAACACCAGUGGCGAAGGCGGCUCUCUGGACUGUAACUGACGCUGAGGCACGAAAGCGUGGGGAGCAAACAGGAUUAGAUACCCUUGUAGUC